rnacentral:lncRNA from 1 species
AGACUUGUGUUUUUGCUGUGGGAAUGUGAAAAACACUGGAAGCUGCUCUCUGCCAAGUUAUUUCCCCAAGGAUCUGCUUUACAUUCUGACAAUCAAUGACCUGUCAGGUGUAGUUAUGCACCAUAGCAGUGAUAUGAGGUCAAUCAGAUGAAAGCAAGAUAUUUUGAAAUCAUCUGUUGAUUUUCUGUGCUGCAAGACCAGCAUGUGAAUCAUGUCAGCAACUAUACUCCAUGUUUCAAAAACAUGUAAAAAUGUUACAGUUCUUCAAACAGAAGAAGCAGAGAUCAGAUCCAGAGUGGAGUGCUGGACAAAGAACACAAAGCAGCAAGGAAGUACCGGAUCCAGCUGCCUUUCUCCUUCCUGCCGCCCCGAGCCUUUCUGUUCUGGCAGUUUGGUUGCUCCAAACCAGCUGGCAGGGAAAAGCAUCCAUGUGCCAGCCGGGCAGAGAGGCAGAGGGGAGGUGGAGGCUGGAGCCAGCCCCUCUCCAGGGGAGCAGUUUCUGGGCAAGCUGCAGGCUGCCCUCAGUGCACCUGCCCGCAGCGAGGGUCGCAAGGCUGCGCUGCUGGGGAGACCCUCCCUGCAGGAGGGCACAAAGCGCUGGGGGCCGCUUCCUCAGCUGCUGCUCUGCUCCAGUGGGACAGCGAAACAUGGUCCUGCUUUCAUCAGGGGAGCAACUGAGCCUGAAGGAUAA